rnacentral:rRNA from 1 species
UAUUCCUGUACCCGUUGUUUUUGUUUGAGCAAUGGAGGGACGCAGGAGGCUAAGGAAUGCAGACGAUCGGAAAUGUCUGUCCAAGCAGUAAGUCUGAAGAGGAGUCAAAUGCUUCUUUUCUUAAGGACAAGCUGUGAUGGGGAGGGAAAUAAUAGUACCGAAGUUCCUGAUGUCACACUGCCGAGAAAAGCUUCUAGUGAGAAAACAGCGGCCCGUACCGCAAACCGACACAGGUAGUCGAGGAGAGAAUCCUAAGGUGAGCGAGAGAACUCUCGUUAAGGAACUCGGCAAAAUGACCCCGUAACUUCGGGAGAAGGGGUGCUGAUCAUACGAUCAGCCGCAGUGAAUAGGCCCAAGCGACUGUUUAUCAAAAACACAGGUCUCUGCAAAAUCGUAAGAUGAAGUAUAGGGGCUGACGCCUGCCCGGUGCUGGAAGGUUAAGAGGAGUGCUUAGCGCA